rnacentral:rRNA from 1 species
GUCUGUCGCCAUGACACCCUGAACAAGCCUGAUCCCAUCUGGUCUCGGAAGCUAAGCAAGGUCAAGCCUGGUUAGUACUUGGAUGGGAGAUCACCUAGGAAGACCAGGUGCUGUAGGCA